rnacentral:rRNA from 1 species
AUUGAACGCUGGCGGAAUGCUUUACACAUGCAAGUCGAACGGUAGAGGGGGCAACCCCUCGAGAGUGGCGAACGGGUGAGUAAUAUAUCGGAACGUGCCCAGUCGUGGGGGAUAACGUAGCGAAAGUUACGCUAAUACCGCAGACGAACUAAGGAUGAAAGCGGGGGAUCGCAAGACCUCGCGCGAUUGGAGCGGCUGAUAUCAGAUUAGGUAGUUGGUGGGGUAAAGGGUCACCAAGCCAACGAUCUGUAGCUGGUCUGAGAGGACGACCAGCCACACUGGAACUGAGACACGGUCCAGACUCCUACGGGAGGCAGCAGUGGGGAAUUUUGGACAAUGGACGCAAGUCUGAUCCAGCUAUUCCGCGUGCAGGAUGAAGGCCCUCGGUUUGUAAACUGCUUUUGUACGGAACGAAAAGGUCUCUCUUAAUACGGGGGGCUCAUGACGGUACCGUAAGAAUAAGCACCGGCUAACUACGUGCCAGCCGCCGCGGUAA